GACAACUUGCCCCACUCCCCGAUGUACCUCUGCCUCCAAAGAAACACAUUUCAUUUAUCCCAUCGUGUCCACCUGCAGUAGGACACUCCUGGGCACAGGAUGGGGACAAAAGCUUCCAAUAUGCAAAGCUUCAGCCAGGCAGAGACACAAGGAGCUAAUCUCUGUGUAAAUUAUGUGAACUGAAUGGUCAUCUCAUCUACUACAUUUGUUCACCCUUUUUAACGCAUCAGCUUGUGAAUCAGAGUUGGCGAAGAGCAAAGGGAGGGACUGCUAAGAAAUUGGAAAACAUUUUUAAGGAGGCUGGAAGGAAUCACACUGCACUGCUGUGGUAGCUGGAGCUGCUACGUUCCCAGUCUAUCACCGAGGAGAAUAACAUCAAAACACAGAGGUUGUACAAGCCUUCAUUCCAGAACAUCCUCACAUCUUCAGCUGCCUUCUUACAGAAAUGUCGCACAUGUUCCCUACAAUUGAAGACAUUCCAGCAGGCUUCACAGCCUUCAGCAGCUCCUCCUGUGAGUUUUAAUACAAGGGUAUGCCAAGCCAGUACUACACCAUGCUGACCUUCACUUUGUUUAGGAAGUUGCCUGGUCUAAUCUUACAUUCCACAGAUUUUGGAGAAUGCAACUAGUGUUACAUGGGUUGGAGUCCUCUUCCACUUGCAACGCAGCAGGAAAGGUGAUGCCAGAAGGGGCAUCUGACAGCAGAAGUGACCACGUUCCCGUGAGCUGCACAGUGGCUUCCCACUCCUCGCCUGUCCAACAGGCUAGUGACAGUGCUUGGUUCCCUUGGGCUUUUGCCUCAGGAGCUGCUCCAAGCCCCUGCGUCAAGAGGCUGUUGAUGCAGGGAAUUUUCCUCCAGCAGCAGGAACCGAAGCAGCUGCAAGAGCUGCAGAUGUAGCCUUUAAAUCAUCAUGUCUUUUCCUCUUUCAGGACAAGAUCCUGAGAGAAUUUGGUUUACCACACAUCUGACGUGUAUUUAUGUGUUGCAGAACAGGAGUAAAGUAGCAAUUCUCAGGGCAUAACUGUAUUCUGAAAAACGUCAGAGGAGUUUUCAUCCUCCCUUGAACUUUCUCCCCCCUCAAGACAGCGUUCACACAAGCACCUCCUUUUGGGCAGCUGCUGUUUCAAACAAGGAUUUAUCAUAGUAAUCUACAGGUGGCUAAAGAAAAGAGAGAUUUCACCUGUGGCUGCAGCAGUCCUAAUUAUUUCAAGGGCUCUUCAACUAAAUUUGGGUAAACAGAGAGGUAAAUGCUCUGAACAUCAGUAUCUGAUUGCCUUAUUUGUAUGUUUUGAAAUAAGUAUGUUUUGAAGUCGGUCCAGAUUUCCAUGAUGACAAGGGAGGAUACACAACUGUAGAGAGG